rnacentral:tRNA from 1 species
GGAGAAUAUAUUUGGAGCCGCUAACUCCAUAAUAACGCCACUUGGAGGCGAUUCUCCU